CUGUACAUAGUGCUGUCUGGAAGCGUAAACAUUACGGUGUGAGAAAAUUACAUACCUUUGAGUUCGUCAAAGUUAAGUGUAAAAUCAGUAUCUAAUCGGCAAAUAGUCCAUUAGGAUUGAUAAGUAAAAGCAUUAAUUUCGUAUUAGCUUUAAAAGUACUGAUUUUUUUUUUUUUUUUUUUUUUUAAACAUAAUGGCAAGAAAUGAAGAGAAGCAUUAUGGGCGAUUAAAUCGCUUGUUGCUGAUGAAAGAAAAAGAAGAAUAUGAAAAAACACAUCCGAAAAGACCAAGGCUUAACUCAGUUUUGAUAUGAUGUAUUUUAAAACACGGAGAUAAGCAGAAUUCAAUAUCACAACCGGAACCAGUGACAGAUAGGGCCGGAGCGAUUUUGGGCUGAUUAAGAUUUUCGAGUUUCUUGAUCAAUAGUGAUUAAAAAAUCAUUAUUUUAAAUCUGAUACCGAGUCAGAAGGAGACAGUGCUCUAUCUAUUAAUGAGUAUUCAUCCAAAGCUGAAAUGCAAUUUUUGAAAAAAUUGCGUCUUGUGUGUAUAUAAAUUACUCUUGAAAUAUAAUUAAUAAAGUAACUCAUACUCAAAUGUCAUUUUUUGCUUAUAAGUUUGUACUCACCCUAUCUAUAAUGCAAACUGAAUGCGAAAGAACUUCAACUUUUCAUGGGGACAACUCAACAACAUUCAAAAUUAAAAAUUGUAAAAAGUAGAUUAAGGAGUAAUGUGAAGCAAGCUAAUUUCAAAACAUUGCUGUUGAUGAACAUAGAGAAAGAUAUUUUGGAUACAGCAAAAAUUGAAGAUGUAAUAGAGGAAAUAUUUUCCCUGGUGCCUGGAAUUAAAAAAUAUUUAAAUGGCCAAUUCUGAAUUAACUGCUGUUUUGUUUGCAUUAAUUAUUUAGUCACUGUUAUUUAUUGUUUUUAUUUUAUUUAUUUUAGUUACAUAUGAAUAAACUGUUACUUUUCUGCAAAGGUA